rnacentral:rRNA from 1 species
UACAGAGGGUGCGAGCGUUGUUCGGAAUUAUUGGGCGUAAAGGGCGCGUAGGCGGUGCGGUAAGUCACUUGUGAAAUCUCCUGGCUCAACUGGAGGCUUGCAGGCGAAACUGCCGUGCUGGAGUGUGGGAAGAGGGUGACGUGGAAUUCCCGGUGUAGCGGUGAAAAUGCGUAGAUAUCGGGAGGAACACCUGUGGCGAAAGCGGCGC